UGGAGAAGAAAAAAAACGGAAAAAAGAAAAGAUUUUUUCGAUGAUAAGAUCACUGCCCUUGAUUCGUGGUUUGGACUUUUUUGUAAAUUUCUCUCUCUGAUUUGUUUCUUUUUCUUAG
rnacentral:ribozyme from 12 species